GAUGAACGCUGGCGGCGUGCCUAAUACAUGCAAGUCGAACGCGAGAGGAGGGAGCUUGCUCCCUCUGAUCGAGUGGCGGACGGGUGAGUAACACGUGGGUAACCUGCCCAUAAGACUGGGAUAACUCCGGGAAACCGGGGCUAAUACCGGAUAACAUUUUGAACCGCAUGGUUCGAAAUUGAAAGGCGGCUUCGGCUGUCACUUAUGGAUGGACCCGCGUCGCAUUAGCUAGUUGGUGAGGUAACGGCUCACCAAGGCAACGAUGCGUAGCCGCCCUGAGAGGGUUAUCGGCCACACUGGGACUGAGACACGGCCCAGACUCCUACGGGAGGCAGCAGUAGGGAAUCUUCCGCAAUGGACGAAAGUCUGACGGAGCAACGCCGCGUGAGUGAUGAAGGCUUUCGGGUCGUAAAACUCUGUUGUUAGGGAAGAACAAGUGCUAGUUGAAUAAGCUGACACCUUGACGGUACCUAACCAGAAAGCCACGGCUAACUACGUGCCAGCCGCCGCGGUAA
rnacentral:rRNA from 1 species